AGAGUUUGAUCAUGGCUCAGGACGAACGCUGGCGGCGCGCCUAACACAUGCAAGUCGAACGGAGCUAAGAGGAGCUUGCUUUUCUUAGCUUAGUGGCGAACGGGUGAGUAACGCGUGAGUAACCUGCCCUGGAGUGGGGGACAACAGUUGGAAACGACUGCUAAUACCGCAUAAGCCCACGGCCCGGCAUCGGGCUGCGGGAAAAGGAUUUAUUCGCUCUAGGAUGGACUCGCGUCCAAUUAGCUAGUUGGUGAGGUAACGGCCCACCAAGGCGACGAUUGGUAGCCGGACUGAGAGGUUGAACGGCCACAUUGGGACUGAGACACGGCCCAGACUCCUACGGGAGGCAGCAGUGGGGGAUAUUGCACAAUGGGGGAAACCCUGAUGCAGCGACGCCGCGUGGAGGAAGAAGGUUUUCGGAUUGUAAACUCCUGUCGUUAGGGACGAUAAUGACGGUACCUAACAAGAAAGCACCGGCUAACUACGUGCCAGCAGCCGCGGUAUAACGUAGGGUGCAAGCGUUGUCCGGAAUUACUGGGUGUAAAGGGAGCGCAGGCGGACCGGCAAGUUGGAAGUGAAAACCAUGGGCUCAACCCAUGAAUUGCUUUCAAAACUGCUGGCCUUGAGUAGUGCAGAGGUAGGUGGAAUUCCCGGUGUAGCGGUGGAAUGCGUAGAUAUCGGGAGGAACACCAGUGGCGAAGGCGACCUACUGGGCACCAACUGACGCUGAGGCUCGAAAGCAUGGGUAGCAAACAGGAUUAGAUACCCUGGUAGUCCAUGCCGUAAACGAUGAUUACUAGGUGUUGGAGGAUUGACCCCUUUAGUGCCGCAGUUAACACAAUAAGUAAUCCACCUGGGGAGUACGACCGCAAGGUUGAAACUCAAAGGAAUUGACGGGGGCCCGCACAAGCAGUGGAGUAUGUGGUUUAAUUCGAAGCAACGCGAAGAACCUUACCAGGUCUUGACAUCCGAUGCAUAGUGCAGAGAUGCAUGAAGUCCUUCGGGACAUCGAGACAGGUGGUGCAUGGUUGUCGUCAGCUCGUGUCGUGAGAUGUUGGGUUAAGUCCCGCAACGAGCGCAACCCUUAUUGCCAGUUACUACGUAAGAGGACUCUGGCGAGACUGCCGUUGACAAAACGGAGGAAGGUGGGGAUGACGUCAAAUCAUCAUGCCCUUUAUGACCUGGGCUACACACGUACUACAAUGGCGUUUAACAAAGAGAAGCAAGACCGCGAGGUGGAGCAAAACUCAGAAACAACGUCUCAGUUCAG
rnacentral:rRNA from 1 species